UGUGGGUGGUACCAACCAAUAGGAUUGCAGCCUGGACAGAAUAAAAACCGAAAGAGGGUCGUCCUUCUUGCUUCUUGGGAGGAGUGGUAGUCUUCGGACUUUGAUCUCAGGUUGUGUCAGGAUUCCAGCACAGAUUCUUCAGACUUCCAACAUAGACCGUUUGGUUUUCCGACGCAGACUUGCACGGGAUUCUGCAUGAGCCUUCAACUGAAGCCUCCCCCCUCUCCGGCAAGCUGCCGGCCAUGUUGCAUUCUUCCGGCCCUGAUUCUGAGGCAGCCACUCCCUGAGUGCCACCUCUUUUGCCGAGGAUGCCUCUGUAGAGGCACCCAGCAGCCCUUUGUGUGAUCCGAGGGUGAAGAUGAACAGCCUGGAGAGCAGCCAAGAGUCCUGCUGGACACAGGAAGGCAGCGAACAGGGAUUUGAAGACCUCAAACAAAAUUCUCUCAGAUUGGACUCUCCUGCCUCCAUCUUGGCCAAAUUGCUAGAGAAAUACAUUCAAGAAAAAUGGAGAGAGAAUACAACCUGUGAACCAUCUGACUUUCAGCUUUACAGUGAAGAACUGGUUAGUUGCAGAUACCCAGUUUAAUGCAUGGUGAGAGACUUCAGGAUGGGGAAAGCCAGUUUUUCCAGCACACCUAUUACAGGGACUACAUUUCUUCCAAUGAAGGUCUGUCCCCCCACCCCCACCCGGACCCAUGCUGUUUUUAUCACAUUAGCUUUUGGAACAAAACCUUGAUCUCCCAGGAAAUAUAACAAAGAAUCAAUAACUUGGAUCUUAUCUUAUUAAAAAGCCUUUCCACAGCAAAAGAAAUCAGCAACAGAGCUAAGAGAGUAGGAAAAAAUUUUUGACUGCUGUUCCUCAAAGACUAGAAUCUAUUAAAGAAUUUAAAGAAAACCAGACCUCCCAAUUUAAAGACCCAAUCCAAAAAUGGGCAUCAGAAAUGAAUAGACACUUCUCAGAUGAAAAAGUACAUAUGGCAAAUAAAUAUAUGAAAAAAUGUUCAACAUCACUGGUUAUUGGAGAGAUGCAAAUUAAAACAAUGAUGAGAUUCCAUCUCACUCCAGAAAGAAUGGCUUCUAUCAAGAAAUCAUUAUAUUCUGGCAGGGCUUCGAGGAAAAAGGAACCCUUCUCCACUGUUGGUGGGAGUGUAGACUGGUGCGACUACUUUGGAAAUCUGAAGAUUCCUAAAAAAGCUAAGAUUAGAGGUCCCAAUUGACCCAGCUAUUCCCCUGCUGGGUAUCUUCCUAAAUAAUUAACAUACUACCGUGAUAUAUGCACACCUAUGUUUAUAGCAGCAGAGCUUGUAAUAGCUAAUUCUUGGAAAUGGCCCAAAUACUGAUCAACUGAUGAAUAAAGAAGAUGUGAUUUUUUUAAUACAAUGGAGUAUUACUCUGUUAUAAAGAGGGAUAAACUUGAGACAUUUGUAGGUGAAUGAAUGUACCUUGAGAUCAUACUCAAGUGAAACAAGUGAAAUAAAUCGGGCACACGUGUAAAUAUUGCAUUGAUUCUCUGAUGUGAGAAACUGAAAGUGUAAAUAACGAUCAAAAUGUAUAAUAGAUAUUGUGAAAUAAGAAAAUGUUCAAAUGGGAAGGGGAACUAGGGAAGGGGGAGGGGAAAGGAAGGAAGGAAAAACAAAGAAAAGAAAAAAUGGAAACAAAAACCUUUGAUAUAUAAGAAAGGGCAGAGGGGUUGAAGGGAGGGGACAGGAAUGGGAAAAAAAGAACCAAGAUAUGUCAUGUAUAGAUACAAAUUCCCUAUGAUGAACAUGAUCAUUAUAUAUUUCUAAAAUGUGCCAAUAAACUUAAUUAAAAAAUAAAAUGAAAUGAUAUUGCCUUUGUGGCUAAAGAUUU
ensembl:lncRNA